rnacentral:rRNA from 1 species
UGUGACCUCAAAUCAGGUAGGACUACCCGCUGAACUUAAGCAUAUCAAUAAGCGGAGGAAAAGAAACUAACAAGGAUUCCCCUAGUAACUGCGAGUGAAGCGGGAAAAGCUCAAAUUUAAAAUCUGUCAGUCUUUGGCUGUCCGAGUUGUAAUCUAGAGAAGUGUUAUCCGCGCUGGACCGUGUACAAGUCUCCUGGAAUGGAGCGUCAUAGAGGGUGAGAAUCCCGUCUUUGACACGGACUGCCAGGGCUUUGUGAUGCGCUCUCAAAGAGUCGAGUUGUUUGGGAAUGCAGCUCAAAAUGGGUGGUAAAUUCCAUCUAAAGCUAAAUAUUGGCGAGAGACCGAUAGCGAACAAGUACCGUGAGGGAAAGAUGAAAAGAACUUUGGAAAGAGAGUUAAACAGUACGUGAAAUUGCUGAAAGGGAAACGCUUGAAGUCAGUCGCGUUGGCCAGGGAUCAACCUUGCUUUUGCUUGGUGUACUUUCUGGUUGACGGGUCAGCAUCAAUUUUGACUGUUGGAAAAAAAUUAAGGGAAUGUGGCAUCUUUGGAUGUGUUAUAGCCCUUGGUUGCAUACAAUGGUUGGGAUUGA